ACCUGGUCUUGACAUCCCGGAGACCCUUAGGAAACUAGGGGGUGCUUCCAUCUGGAAGAAUCUGGAGACAGGUGCUGCAUGGCUGUCGUCAGCUCGUGUCGUGAGAUGUUGGGUUAAGUCCCGCAACGAGCGCAACCCUUGCCUUUAGUUGCCAGCAGUUCGGCUGGGCACUCUAAAGGGACUGCCGGUGUUAAACCGGAGGAAGGUGGGGAUGACGUCAAGUCCUCAUGGCCUUUAUGACCAGGGCUACACACGUACUACAAUGGCCGAUACAAAGGGCAGCGACACUGCGAGGUGAAGCCAAUCCCGUAAAAUCGGUCUCAGUCCGGAUUGGAGUCUGCAACUCGACUCCAUGAAGUUGGAAUCGCUAGUGAUCGUGGAUCAGCAUGCCACGGUGAAUACGUUCCCGGGCCUU
rnacentral:rRNA from 1 species